rnacentral:tRNA from 1 species
GCCUGGCUAGCUCAGUUGGUAGAGCAUGAGACUCUUAAUCUCAGGGUCGUGGGUUCAUGCCCCAUGUUGGGUG